UACAGAGGUCUCAAGCGUUGUUCGGAUUCAUUGGGCGUAAAGGGUGCGUAGGUGGCGCCGUAAGUCGGGUGUGAAAUUUCGGAGCUUAACUCCGAAACUGCAUUCGAUACUGCGGUGCUUGAGGACUGGAGAGGAGACUGGAAUUCAUGGUGUAGCAGUGAAAUGCGUAGAGAUCAUGAGGAAGACCAGUGGCGAAGGCGGGUCUCUGGACAGUUCCUGACACUGAGGCACGAAGGCCAGGGGAGCAAACGGG
rnacentral:rRNA from 2 species